rnacentral:rRNA from 1 species
AGCAGCCGCGGUAAUUCCAGCUCCAAUAGCGUAUAUUAAAGUUGUUGCAGUUAAAAAGCUCGUAGUUGAAUUUCGGGGUUCUACCGUUGGUCGGGCUUUGUCUGUACUGGCGUGUAGAAUUUCUACCUUCUGGGGAACCAUCAUGUUAUUAAUUUAACGUGGUGGGAAACCAGGACCUUUACCUUGAAAAAUUAGAGUGUUCAAAGCAGGCUUAUGUCUGAAUACAUUAGCAUGGAAUAAUAGAAUAGGACGGUGGUCCUGUUUUGUUGGUUUCUGAAUCACCGUAAUGAUUAAUAGGGAUAGUUGGGGGCAUUAGUAUUCAAUUGUCAGAGGUGAAAUUCUUGGAUUUAUUGAAGACUAACUACUGCGAAAGCAUUUGCCAAGGAUGUUUUCAUUAAUCAAGAACGAAAGUUAGGGGAUCGAAGACGAUCAGAUACCGUCGUAGUCUUAACCAUAAACCAUGCCGACUAGGGAUCGGAUGAUGUAAUUUUUAAUGACUCAUUCGGCGCCUUACGGGAAA